rnacentral:rRNA from 1 species
CAGCCACCGCGGUAAUACAGAGGGUGCGAGCGUUAAUCGGAUUUACUGGGCGUAAAGCGUGCGUAGGCGGCUUCUUAAGUCGGAUGUGAAAUCCCUGAGCUUAACUUAGGAAUUGCAUUCGAUACUGGGAAGCUAGAGUAUGGGAGAGGAUGGUAGAAUUCCAGGUGUAGCGGUGAAAUGCGUAGAGAUCUGGAGGAAUACCGAUGGCGAAGGCAGCCAUCUGGCCUAAUACUGACGCUGAGGUACGAAAGCAUGGGGAGCAAACAGGAUUAGAUACCCCCGUAGUCCCUGUCUCUUAUAC